rnacentral:rRNA from 1 species
AGCGAACGCUGGCGGCAGGCUUAACACAUGCAAGUCGAACGGGCUUCUUCGGAAGUCAGUGGCAGACGGGUGAGUAACACGUGGGAACGUGCCCUUCGGUUCGGAAUAACUCAGGGAAACUUGAGCUAAUACCGGAUACGCCCUUUUGGGGAAAGGUUUACUGCCGAAGGAUCGGCCCGCGUCGGAUUAGCUUGUUGGUCGGGUAACGGCGUACCAAGGCGACGAUCAGUAGCUGGUCUGAGAGGAUGAUCAGCCACACUGGGACUGAGACACGGCCCAGACUCCUACGGGAGGCAGCAGUGGGGAAUAUUGGACAAUGGGCGCAAGCCUGAUCCAGCCAUGCCGCGUGAGUGAUGAAGGCCUUAGGGUUGUAAAGCUCUUUUGUCCGGGACGAUAAUGACGGUACCGGAAGAAUAAGCCCCGGCUAACUUCGUG